rnacentral:lncRNA from 12 species
UGUAAUCUAUGUCUGCACAAUUUCAGGAAAACGGGAAAGCAGCUGAUGGCCAAACAACAAAUGAAGUACUUGGACCACAAAGACCCAGGUCUAACUCCGGCAGAGAGCUCACAGAUGAGGAAAUUCUAGCAAGUGUAAUGAUAAAAAACCUCGAUACAGGUGAAGAAAUACCUCUGAGUCUGGCAGAAGAAAAGUUGCCAACAGGCAUUAAUCCCCUGACUUUGCAUAUCAUGAGGAGAACUAAAGAAUACGUCAGG